GCAAUGGAAGUAGUGGAUGUAUUCACUCAAAUUUAUAAGGGUAUAACCUUUUUACUAGUCUAGUUUUGUAGUUUCAAGCUUCUAGUCCUCUAUAGUCCUUAAAAAAGUCGUUAAGUUCAUAAAGACGAUACAACUUAAGAGGUAGCCAACUCAUAAGAGAUUUUCUGCUACAUACCUUUAACAAGCGAGGAACACAGUAAUUUCUGAAUUUCUAUUUGUAGUCAAAAAUCACUGAAUUAUCAGUUUGUUUCAAAAACGAGAGGAUUGUUUAAACUAAUUUGCAUUUUCUUAAACCAAACUUAUUGUAACUUGAAUAAUCUCUUUAAUCUAUUUAUUUUGAAGGUCAAUGAACUCUUAGACAGAUAUGAAAAUUGCUCAAAAUAAUACCGUAAGCUUUCCAAGAAACUAGAUGCUGGUAUUUUAAACAGUAUGGAUCAAAAACAAGAAAAAGUUGAAACUCAUAAAUGCAUUCAACUGCACGACAUAUUUAUUUCCUUCAUGUUUUG